rnacentral:rRNA from 1 species
AACAGGAUUAGAUACCCUGGUAGUCCACGCCGUAAACGAUGAGUGCUAGGUGUUGGGGGGCUACGCCCCUCAGUGCCGAAGGUAACCCAUUAAGCACUCCGCCUGGGGAGUACGGCCGCAAGGCUGAAACUCAAAGGAAUUGACGGGGGCCCGCACAAGCGGUGGAGCAUGUGGUUUAAUUCGAAGCAACGCGAAGAACCUUACCAGGGCUUGACAUCCCGCUGACCCCUCCAGAGAUGGAGGUUUCCUUCGGGACAGCGGUGACAGGUGGUGCAUGGUUGUCGUCAGCUCGUGUCGUGAGAUGUUGGGUUCAGUCCCGCAACGAGCGCAACCCUUGUCGUUAGUUGCCAGCAUUUCGGAUGGGCACUCUAACGAGACAGCCGGUGAAAGCCGGAGGAAGGUGGGGAUGACGUCAAAUCAUCAUGCCCCUUAUGUCCUGGGCUACACACGUGCUACAAUGGCUGGUACAAAGGGCAGCGAACCCGCGAGGGGGAGCCAAUCCCAAAAAGCCAGUCUCAGUUCGGAUCGCAGGCUGCAACUCGCCUGCGUGAAGCCGGAAUCGCUAGUAAUCGCGGAUCAGCAUGCCGAGGUGAAUACGUUCCCGGGCCUUGUACACACCGCCCGUCACACCACGAGAGUUUGCAACACCCGAAGUCGGUGAGGCAACCUUUUAGGAGCCAGCCGCCGAAGGUGGGGCAGAUGAUUGGGGUGAAGUCGUAACAAGGUAACC